rfam:Glossina fuscipes fuscipes unplaced genomic scaffold Scaffold236, whole genome shotgun sequence.
CACUGCCUGUCGAUACUACCAAUUGAAUUAUUUGGUUAGGCUUUCGGACGUGAUCACUGUAAUGCAUUUUAUAUGUUGCUGCUGUUUCUGAAAGUUGACCGAACUUGGUUAUUUAGAGAAACCAGAAGUCGUAGUAAGAUUAUACAUACGCAAACAUGUAUGUG